AUGUCUUCUCAAGGUUCCAAAGAACAAAGGAGGGAGAGGGAGAGGGAGAGGGAGAUGGAAUUUUUCUGUUUUCUGGUUAGUGCGUGCUCUGUUCGUAAACUUGGUUGCAAAGUGUAGUUAAAUUCAUUCAUUGCUUCUCUCUCUCACUCUCUCUCUCUCUCUGCAACUAUUCAUCAAUGGCGAUAGAGAGAGAGAAGAAGAUGUUUGUUGGGUUUGCUUGGAACUGUGCAGCAGAGCUCAAAUUCCUCAUCACCGCUCUCCUAUUCGUUUGUUCAGUCGCCACCGUCCUUCAAUUCCUCCCCUCCCGCUUCUCUCUCUCCUCCUCCUCCACCUCCUCCGAUUUCCUCCGCAGCUGCCUCCCCAAAAUCACCCUCUCCAACUCCUCCACCACUACCAUCGCCACGGCUGCUCCGCCGCCUCUCCCCCCACCUCCCACCCCAUCUCCGCCGGACGAGGUGGUGGAGAACGGAAUCAUCAAGCGCAAUUUCAAUCCCUACGGCGACGCCGCCUACAACUUCGUCUUGAUGAGCGCAUACAGAGGCGGACUCAACACCUUCGCCGUCAUGGGUUUAUCUUCCAAGCCACUCCACGUCUUCGGCAAACCUUCCUACCAAUGCGAAUGGGUCCCCCACAACGCCACCACCACCACCACCGUCGGCCACAAAAUCCUCCCUGAUUGGGGCUACGGCCGCGUUUACACCACCGUCGUAAUCAACUGCACCUUCCCCUCGCCCGUCGGCCACGGCGGCGGAAAAUUACUCCUCCACGCCUCCACCAACGGCGGCGGAGAUCGAAACUCCAACACCACUGACACCAUUGAAGCAUUAUUCGAAUCACCCGGAAGCUUAAACCCUUCUCUCUUCACAUCUCCCCCCAAAUACGAUUACCUCUAUUGUGGGUCGUCCUUGUACGGAGACUUGAGUCCACAGAGAAUUCGAGAAUGGCUGGCCUACCAUGUUAGGCUGUUCGGUGAGAGGUCUCAUUUCGUGAUUCACGACGCUGGUGGGGCUCACCAGGAGGUUAUGGAGGUUUUGAAGCCAUGGAUGGAAAAGGGUUUUGUGACCUUGCACGAUAUCAGAGAGCAAGAGAGGUUUGAUGGGUAUUACCAUAACCAGUUUCUCAUUGUGAAUGAUUGUUUGCAUAGAUAUCGAUUUGAUGCGAAAUGGAUGUUCUUUUUUGAUGUUGAUGAGUUCAUAUUUGUGCCGAGGAAGAGGAGUAGUAUCAAAUCGGUCACUGAUUCGCUCUCUGGUUACACUCAGUUCACUAUUGAACAGAUGACCAUGUCCAGCAAGCUCUGUCUCUCUGAAGACACUGGUAAAACUUCCAGGAAAUGGGGAUUUGAGAAGCUGGUGUACAGGGAUGUGAAGAGAGGUAUUAGGAGAGAUCGAAAGUAUGCAGUGCAACCGCGCAACGUGUUUGCGACAGGUGUGCACAUGUCGCAGAACUUUGCAGGCAAGACCACUUACAAGACGCAAGGCCGCAUUAAGUACUUUCAUUACCACGGAACCAUAGCCGAGCGGCAUGAGCCUUGCCGGCAGCUGGUCAACACUACUGACAUUACCGUUGAUGGAAUCCCGUAUGUUUUGGACACCACAAUGCGAGGCAUUACAGGACUAGUGAAGAGAUUCGAACAAAAGACGAUUGGACAUAGGUUACAAAGAACCCGGCAAUGACCGCCUAUCUUCAAUUCUAAUUCUUUCAUUCCUUUCUUUCUCUCCUCUCUUUCCAUCUUAUGCCUUUUUUCUUUUCUUUUCUUUUCUUUUCCUUUAAUACACCCUUCCUAGUGGUGGGGAUUUUCAUUGAUACUCUAUUCUGUAUAAUAUUUUUUUUUUUUUUUUCAAAGGCUUCUCUCCGGUUCGGGCAUUAACUGGCAAGUCCAAUCUGAGUUCUAGAUUGUGCCACGUUGAUAUUUUUCUUUAAAUUAAAGGUGUAGAUUUUGUCUCGACUCCUUCAUAUUGGGUCUAACUUUAUACUCUGAUGCAAUAUUGGGUUGAUGAAUAGAUAGACAAAAUUUAAACUUUUAAUUAACAAAAAUACCAAUGUAGCACAAUCUGAGAUUUUGGAUUGUA